GAUGAAGAACGUAGCGAAAUGCGAUAAGUAAUGUGAAUUGCAGAAUUCAGUGAAUCAUCGAAUCUUUGAACGCACAUUGCGCCCUCUGGUAUUCCGGGGGGCAUGCCUGUUCGAGCGUCAUUAUAACCACUCAAGCUCUCGCUUGGUAUUGGAGUUCGCGAUCUCGCGGCUCCUAAAAUCAGUGGCGGUGCCUGUCGGCUCUACGCGUAGUAAUACUCCUCGCGAUUGAGUCCGGUAGGUUUACUUGCCAGCAACCCCCAAUUUUUUUCAGGUUGACCUCGGAUCAGGUAGGGAUACCCGCUGAACUUAAGCAUAUCAAUAAGCGGAGGA
rnacentral:misc_RNA from 1 species